rnacentral:rRNA from 1 species
UACGUAGGGUGCAAGCGUUGUCCGAAAUUAUUGGGCGUAAAGAGCUCGUAGGCGGUCUGUCGCGUCGGCUGUGAAAUCCCGAGGCUCAACCUCGGGUCUGCAGUCGAUACGGGCAAACUAGAGUAUUGCAGGGGAGACUGGAAUUCCUGGUGUAGCGGUGAAAUGCGCAGAUAUCAGGAGGAACACCGGUGGCGAAGGCGGGUCUCUGGGCAAUAACUGACGCUGAGGAGCGAAAGCGUGGGGAGCGAACAGG